rnacentral:pre_miRNA from 1 species
UAACCCUCUGUUUCAUGAUGUGGAAGACUAGUGAUUUUAUUGUUUAUGAAAUCUGCCAACAAUAAAUCACACUCUUCUCACAUCAUGUACAGUACUUACAA